UAUCACAGUUGUGCAUGAACACACCAUUUUUUCCCCAGUAUCUCCCUCCUAAGCUGCCCUAAAUUCACAGCUCUCUUUCAAGCUCCAAACUGAACAAGUCCCAAGUAAGGACUCAUACAGGCCUUUCUCUCUUAAUGCAGGGAAAAACAGCAGGAAGCAGAGAGGAGGGGCACUGAGAAGAAAGGCUGACAGCCUUCCUCCUGCAGCUGUGGAGGGGAGGAUGAGGCAGGAACAGGAAGGAUAAAAGCAAUGACUGCCAGCUGGGAGCUAAGCAGAAGGGCUGAGUUUUGUGAGCAGUGUUACACUGACUGAUGGACAUCAUUCCUGGCCUAGUCUGCUUUAUUUACUUCCAUGAGGCACCCAGAGGAUCUCAGCAUUUCACCCUGACAACAGGACUGAGUGGUGGACCCACCUGUGCAAACCUCCCUGGGCCGAUAAGGGAUCUAGGGUUGGAACAGAGACCCACAAUGAAGAAGGAAGUGGUUCCAGGACCACAUACUCACCAGUUCUUGGCAAACCCCUCCCAGGAGAGACAUUAAAAGCAGGAGGUCUGAACUCUUGAAUUUUCCAAGAAGGCGAACUAAUGCAGGAGGGCCCCUUUCUGAAGCAGGUUUGGCCCUGUUCUGUCUGCUCCGAUGCACCGCCAACCUCUGCUGGACUUUGCUCUGGAUUUGCUCGGCACAAUAAAAUGUGGAGGAUCAGGUCUGCCAGGAGCAGGGUUCGCCUCUGUUGUUGGAGCAGUUAGGAAUGUGGAUUCUAGAUAAAAUGGUGACCAUUUCCCAGCUCAGCAGAAUACUUGUGUGACUCCACAGAUCAUAUAUACAGCCAGAGUGUGAGAGGCAUAUAUCUGCUAGUUUGCCCACCAUUACUUCCUUGGCUGGAGGUUCCCAUGCUGUGGUACCUGUAUCACCGUGCAGGCCACCAGCAUCACUUUUUGAAGUAACUGCUUCGAAAGCAACUGCUGUGUCACCUCUGACCCUGGUUCAGGAGAUUGCUGCUGAAGUCCAGUUGCAUGAUUUCAAUUGCCAGACUAGCUCCUGAGACUUCUCCCAAUCUUUUUAAAGAUUGCUGAUUGAAUUGCUGCCGUACCAGCCCACGUUAUUAGAUCAAAAAGGAAGAAUGGG